rnacentral:tRNA from 1 species
GGGGGUGUAGCUCAGAUGGUUAGAGCGCCGGCCUGUCACGCCGGAGGCCGCGAGUUCAAGUCUCGUCACUCCCGCCA